GGGCGAGUGUUGGAAAGGCAGACAAAGUUGACUUAAAAUCAACUGGGUAUUUUACCCAUGUGGGUUCGACUCCCACCUCGCCCACCA
rnacentral:tRNA from 1 species